rnacentral:misc_RNA from 1 species
AACGCAAAUUGCACUCUCCGGUUUUCCGGGAGAGUAUGCCUGUUUGAGGGUCAGCCUAAAUAAAUUCGGCUUCGUUGCUGUGUUACGCGGUAACGUUUUGUCGGAAUUUGGGUCAUCUUAAACCGAAAGGUUUUAAGCGACUUAAAAUUUUUUUACGAUCCCACGAACGUUUCUAAGAUCUUCUUAUACGUUCAAGGGUAUCGAAACCCCUAUUAGACGUGACCGUCGUAUCGGUUCGCGUCCAUAACAUUUAUUCUUUAACUGACCUCAGCCAGGUAAGAGCACCCGCUGAACUUAA